UCCUGCCCGGUGGUGGAGUGGAGGGAACUCCCUGUCGGCUCAGGGCACUGAGCCAGGAUGGGACCAAGAUAAACCGGAUCCCAAUCCGGCCGGGUCUCUCCCAGCAGCAGCUCAGCUGAGCCGAGGCCAAUUGAUUAUAUGAAGAAAUUUGGAGCAAGUCGUGGAGCAGCUGCAACCACCCCCGGGGACGCGGCAGACAAAGGAGACGAGCUGCAAACUUGUUUCCCCAGCACAGCCCGGCCUGAGCUGAGGAGGAACCCACCACCGAGGAGGAGAUGAUUGAAGACAAGAUGAGAGAAAGCAAGACCCAGGGAAGCCGGGCACUCCGGGCUCAAGAUCUCUCUUUUCCUGGCAGUUUAAUUCAUUUCCCCCUCCCCGACUUCCUUGUGAACUCAUAAAUAAAACCUUGCACAGUCUGAACAGCCAAGACAAACACACUCUGGGGCACACGGU